rnacentral:rRNA from 1 species
CUUGGUCAUUUAGAGGAAGUAAAAGUCGUAACAAGGUUUCCGUAGGUGAACCUGCGGAAGGAUCAUUAAAAUGUAAAUUGACCCUUUAAACCCUUCUGUGUACUUUUACCUGUUAUUGGAUGAUGGAAUUAGUAAAAUAUUCCAUAGAACAAAAAUAUUAAACUAUUAUUCAUAAUGAUAUUUGUCUGAUUUUGUAUAAAUAAAAGUUAAAACUUUCAACAACGGAUCUCUUGGUUCUCGCAUCGAUGAAGAACGCAGCGAAAUGCGAUAAGUAGUGUGAAUUGCAGAAUUCAGUGAAUCAUCGAAUCUUUGAACGCACAUUGCGCCUUCUGGUAUUCCGGGAGGCAUGCCUAUUUGAGCGUCAUUAAACCCCACUCUAGCAGUUUUGCUAGGAUAUGAAGGAAGAGCACAUUGGAGGCUCUCCUUUGAAAUGAAUUAGUAGAUAUAAAGUUGUGAAUUACACUAUUUUGAUGUAAAAGUCUUUAUUGGUUGUGAUUUGUAUACAACUAUAUCUUGCUUUAACAUUUUUUUGCUAGGCUGUUGAAUCAUAAGAGUUAUAUAAAUCUUAUUUUUAAAACACUUACAAAAAAUAUAAUUUUAUGGUUGACCUCAAAUCAGGUAGGGAUACCCGCUGAACUUAAGCAUAUCAAUAAGCGGAGGA